UGGGGAAUAUUGCACAAUGGGCGCAAGCCUGAUGCAGCCAUGCCGCGUGUAUGAAGAAGGCAUUCGGGUUGUAAAGUACUUUCAGCGGGGAGGAAGGGAGUAAAGUUAAUACCUUUGCUCAUUGACGUUACCCGCAGAAGAAGCACCGGCUAACUCCGUGCCAGCAGCCGCGGUAAUACGGAGGGUGCAAGCGUUAAUCGGAAUUACUGGGCGUAAAGCGCACGCAGGCGGUUGAUUGAGUCAGAUGUGAAAUCCCCGGGCUUAACCCGGGAAUUGCAUCUGAUACUGGUCAGCUAGAGUCGUGUAGAGGGGGGUAGAAUUCCAUGUGUAGCGGUGAAAUGCGUAGAGAUGUGGAGGAAUACCGGUGGCGAAGGCGGCCCCCUGGACAAAGACUGACGCUCAGGUGCGAAAGCGUGGGGAGCAAACAGG
rnacentral:rRNA from 1 species